rnacentral:rRNA from 1 species
UACGUAGGGGCCUAGCGUUGUCCGGAAUUAUUGGGCGUAAAGAGCUUGUAGGCGGUUUGUCGCGUCUGCUGUGAAAAUCCGGGGCUCAACCCCGGACUUGCAGUGGGUACGGGCAGACUAGAGUGUGGUAGGGGAGACUGGAAUUCCUGGUGUAGCGGUGAAAUGCGCAGAUAUCAGGAGGAACACCGAUGGCGAAGGCAGGUCUCUGGGCCACUACUGACGCUGAGAAGCGAAAGCAUGGGGAGCGAACAGG